rnacentral:tmRNA from 1 species
GGGGGCGACAGGUUUCGACGGGGACACGGAGGUCAGGAGUUGCAUGCCGAGGUGCCAUGGGGUCUCGUUAAACACAUGGCAAAACACAACUGCCAAUAACGAACUGGCAUACGCAGCCUAAUUAACUAGGUCGCGCGUCUCCCGGCUGCCGCCCGAGCGGUCGAAGGGAUGUCACAAUUCGGGCUGGUCUUUCCGUUCCGUCCGGGGCGGUAAGAUAAGAAAUACCGGGCUGGCCGAUUCCGGAGCUUUCCCCGAGGCGCCGGAAGAGGUGAGAAACUAAACGAGGGGAAAAGCAUGUAUGAGCUUCUGGCUGAAGGUUUUCGGACGUGGGUUCGAAUCCCACCGCCUCCACCA